AAGAAGCUGAAACACGCAGCAAGAACCAGCUGGGAAGAGCGGCAAAAAUUAGCUGCAAGGCAGCCAAAAAUGCUGCUAAAACAACACCAAAAACAUUCGAAACAGCAGCUCAAAUUGCUGCCAUUUUUGCUGAAAAAACAGACCUAGAAAUCCCAGCCAAAACCCAGUUCCAAAACACCUAAAACCGGCACCAAAAACCCGAUGAAACACCGUAAAAAUCAGCUUCUAAACCCCUCCAUAAACCAGCCCUUAAAAACAUCUUCAAGCAGUCUCAAAGAAGCCCCAAAACCAGUAAAAAAUGCACCAAACUCCAGCUCAAAACCAUCAACUUCACUAAAUGUUUCGGUCAAGCAUAGAGGUGUGUCGAGGUUCGAGGUUCGAAGGCUUCAUCCGUGGUCCGCAGACUCCAAAUGAUUUGUUAUUGUACAUUUGAGGUUCCUCUUCCUUUCCAGAUUCUUUUAAUAAUGCUUUAGCUUGGGUUAUAAAAUUGUUGAAUGAAUAGUUUGUUGCUAUGUGUUUGAAAUAAGCAGUGCACUUAUUUAGAUUAUAUUUGUAUUUUUUAUUCAUGUUUAAUCCUUGUUAAUUCUAAGGCUCAAUUAGUUCGGUGAUAGUUGAAUUAUAACCCAAAUAAUAAAUCACUUUGUUAAUUGAUCUUGUUUCUAGUUGAAGGUUAAGAAUAUAAUUGGUAGUACUGUUGGAUAAGAACUUCAGAAUGGAUAAGGAAAUUUGGACUUAAACAUUGGGCCAAGGUCAAUGGAAUUAAAUGGGAACAAAUGAAUAAUGUGUGCGUGUGUGUGAAUUUUGAGUAUCUCAAGGUAUGGUUUACUACUUAAUAAGAACAUGUGCAAUUAGCUCUUGAUACUGAUUUUUCUCCAAAUGUAUUAUACUGUUUGAUUGGUUUAGUAUUUACAUACCUGAUAGAGUUUGAAUUGUCUAUGAUAAUUUAUCGAUUUUUCUAUUUAUCUUUGAAGCAAAUAAAUCAAUACGGUGGGAUACAUGCUAAUUUGUGCUUAUCGUAUUUGAGAUUUAGUUGUACAUGAAGGCAGUGAGAACACUUUUUUUAAGAAUAUGCACGUUUUUUUACUCUCUUAAAUUUCAAAUACACUUUGUCCCCAAUGAGAUUCCAUAACUCUUGUCCUCUAAUAGGCAUCUCGAUUUAGUUUAGGAAGUAAAUCAAAUAUCGUAGCUCGCUUUAGGUUAAUGAAUAAAUUAUUAAAACUAUGGGUACGACUCCCGUGACAUGGUUGUGAUAAUUAAUUUUAAAUUAUAUUAAAAAUAGGAGCAUCUUUAAUUUGACUUUAAAAUAUAUAACCCUUUUUUUCUUAAAAUAAUUUGAGGUGUGUCACUCUUAAAACCUAUAAUACAUGGCCCUCACAAAAUUAGAUCAAGAGCUAAUCCUUUGAGAAAGUAACUUGGGGUGUGCCAUAUACAAAUAAAAUCUUUUAAUUUAUGGCCCUCAUAAAAAUACAAGAUUAGUUUAGAAAUGCCUUGACCUUUCGUAGUUUUCUUUAGGCACGUUAAUUAAAUAAUUGUCAUAGCUACGGGUACGGUUCUCGUGAUGUAGUCAUGACGCUUAAUUACUAAAAUUCGGGGGUAUAUUUAUGUGACCCGGCCACAAUUUAAUCUCUAAUAAAUUAAACAUGUUGUAGAUCGUGGGUAUGGUUCCUGUGACACGAUUCACAAUGUGCAUCAAAUAAACAAGGGUACGACAAUCGUAACUUGUUCCAGAUUAAUUCCAUAAAAAAUAAUUAAAAGUGGUUUAAAAGGUUAAAAUGCACAAUAUGUUUUAAACAUGUAAUAAAUCGGAUAAUAGUUUAAGCGACUGUGCUAGAACCACGGAGCCCGGGAAUGCCUAACACCUUCUCCCGGGUUAACAAAAUUCCUUAUCUAGAAUUUCUGGUUCGCAGACUUAAAAAAUAAAAGUCGAAUUUCCUCGAUUUGGGAUUUUAAAAUAAAUCGGUGACUUGGGACACCAAUUAAACUAUCCCAAGUGGCGACUCUAAUAAAUUAAAUAAUCUCAUUUCGAAUAAUGCCACUUUAAUUGGAAAAACUCCUAUAUACCCUCGGGGGGGGGGGGGGGCAUGUGUGACAGCUCUGUCGACUCUGCUGGGGAACGAACCCAGAAUCUCUGGUUUUAGGUUCAAGAAUUCCAGCUUAGAAUAACUGUUAUACUUGCCUUUGUUUAUUAUAUGAUUUUUACAUGUUUGGGCAUAAUGUGCUAAAUAUCGCUUUUUAUUGCUUUGAUUUAUUUAAACUGUAUAUAAACUGUUACGAAACCCUUCUCUUCUCAUCUUCGGGUAUGUGCACGCUGGCGUGACUCCUCUUUCUAUUAGUGUCAUACCUUGAAAUAAGAAAGAGGCUCGGACAAGUUACAAAGCCGGAUGACCUUUUGGUUCCUGAUACGUAGCCCCCCUGGCUCGAGUUGUCCACUCAGGUACACAAGUCUAGAAUAAUUUAACCAGGUUAUAAACUUAGAAUAACUCAGCCUCAUGUCGGAUCCCUAGUAGGAACGCUUGUUUGCAUCAUGUGCAUUUAACUUUGGGGACUCAACACAGGGGUUAGGUCCGUCUAGGACAGGUGGACCCCAGAAUCAAAGAUCAUCCUGAUGCAUAUUUUACGUGCUACUUGUGCAAUUAUUUGUUUUGGUUUGCAUGUUGACCGGUUGCUUCGGUUUGCAUGUUGAGGUAUGAGAGAAUUGAUUACCCGUUUUUGAAAAAACCUGGCGUCCAAAAUAAGCCGAAACUCUGCCGAAAUUUUGGAAGAAAAAAAAAAGAAAGGUCAUUCAAGAUGAGCCAAAACUUUCAAGUGUCAUAUUUCCUUUGUUCCGUCAAAACUGACUGAACUACGCAGGUCUGAUUCUCACCGGAUGUGAGAUACGUAGGCAAACCUCAUCGAUUCUGACCCCAAUUUUCAAAAAAAUUCAAAAAGUUUAUUUUUUCUUAGUUCCUUCUUUAGAAAUCUUUCCUUAGAAAUUCAAAAAAAAAAGAAGUUUUUAAACUCAAAAAUAGUUUUCUUCUUUCUGAAAUCUUUCAUAUGAAAAAAAUCAAAAGAAAUAAAAAUCCAAAAUGCGGGUUUCCUUUAUUUUGAAGUAUUUUUCUAAAAAAAAUUAAAAAAAAACCAAAAAAAAAAAUAGAAUUAAAAAAAAGAAGAAGAAGAAAAUAUUCUUUUCCUUCUUUAAAAGUAUUUCUUUCGUAAAUGCCAACAAAAUAAAUAUUUGAAAAAAGGUUGAAGUCCAUAAAUAUUUUUGCUUUUCUUUAGAAGUACUUUUGUAAAUAAAUAAAAAGCUCAGAAAUUCAAAAUAUUUUCUUAAAAGUCUCUCUUUCAAAAAUUAAGAGGCAACAUCCAAAAUCCAAAAAUAUUUUCUUUCCUCUUUAGAAAAAGAGAAACAAAUAAAAAUUCAAACAAAAAUAUUUUAUUUUUACUUUUAAAAUUCCCAAAGUUCAAAUCAAAAGCAAAUUAAUUUUUAGAAGUCUUUCUUUAAAAAAAAACUAAACAAAAAUCAAAAAAAAAAUUCCUUUCUUCUUUUAAAGCAUUUCUUUCAAAAUAUUCCAACAAAAAAAAGAGUUAGUUUAUUUACUCUAUUUUUUAUCUUCCCGAACUACGCAAGAUCUGAUUCAUGCGGUGUCAUGAUACGUAGGCAAACCCCAUCGGAUUCGAUCAUAGCUAUAAAAUAAAACCGAGUGAAAAAUAAUUUGAAAAAAAAAAGAGAGAAAGAAAAAAAAUUGAUUGAAUGAAAAAGAAAGAAAAGAGCGAAAAAGGGAAAAAAGAGAGUGACAAAAAAUGAAAGAGUGACAAAAAUAAAAAGAAAAGAAAAGAGAGUGUCAAAAAAAUAAAAAAUAAAAGAGCGACAGAAACAAAAUGAAAAAAAAAUAAAAAAUCAAGAGUGAUUUAAAGAGAGAUAGAAUAAAAGAAAAGAAAUACAUACUCAAAGGGUUAGUUAAGGCCGAGAUGAAACAUGCAACCGUUCAAACACAUGGUAGAAGCGUUUAACUGUUAGGUGCAUUGCAUCCCAACGUGCGAUUUGCUAUAUGUUAAAUGUCUCAAAACUAACAAGGUUGUGGUGUGAGCAAAUUAGCUAAGUUAUGUUCAGGUGGUUGGUUUUGUUGGUAUGCGGUGAUGAACGCGCAACCUUGCACGCGGCCACAACAUUAUACACAAAACCGAGCUCCAACUCCCAGAAAUGCCCAUCAUUACCAAGCUCCAUAUAACCCCCAAUCAAAUAUUCCCCACUACAAUCCUCGCCCAAGAGAGCGUUUCAAAAGGAAUCAGUUCACCCCUAUUAGUGAAUCAUACUCGGGCUUGUUCCAAAAGCUAGUCAGGUGAGGUCUACUGUGGCCAGUGGCCCAAAAAAUCGGCCAAACCCCGAGCCCUCCUCUCACCGAGCUGAUGCUAGAUGUGAAUACUACUCUGGAGCAUUGGGGUACAGUACAGAGGACUGUUGGACCCUCAAAAGGGCAAUUGAAGAUUUGAUUGAAGCUGAAAGAAUCAUUCUCCGAGACGAAGAGGCUCCUAAUAUGAUGAACAAUCCUCUGCCUACUCUCACAAAUGGGCCAGUAGUCGGAAUGAUAUGUGAAGAUGAAGAAUUUGAUUCGGCACUGAAGUCCAUUGCAUCCAUUGCCGAGAUAGAAGAAAAAACAAAAAAAAUGAUCGUCAAGCCUGAAAGUUCCCUAUCAGACGGGAGUCUCGGUAGCCAGUCUUGCUAUCCUUUCUGUGACCGGAUUACCUCAGAGUGUGAUCCGGAUGUUUUACUUUAUUAUCUUACUUUCCGAUGUUAACCCUUCUAUCUUUAAAAUUCAAAAAAAAAUCAUCAAAAUCAAAAAUCAAAAAAAUCAAAUGAAAUUAAUAUUUUAUUUUCCAGGAAUAUCUCUUUUCUUAGUCUUGUCACUUUUCUUAUUUUUCUUUUCAAUUCUGUUAAAUGCAAAUUUCAAUAACAUGACAUGCUUGCAGACUUCAUGCCCAGAUCUUGAAAGCUGUCAGACCUCGAAAUAAUGAAUCAAGAAUUAGAUUGCAAAGAAAAUAAGUUUAAGGAAACAAAAUAAAGAGUUGGAGCAGUUAAAGGAAAAUUGAUUCCAGAUUGGAAAGAUCCAUACAUUGCAACAAGAGUACAGCCAAAAGAGUGCGUUGUACUUGGGACACAUUGAAGGAAAUGUCACGGAAACAACUGGCAAUGCAAAUGCAGUCAAAAGGUACUAUGUUGGAUCAUCUAUAUAACAUUAAUACUCUGAUUGGGAUGACGAAGGCUUUCAUAGUCCCUACCAAAAUACUAUCAACCCUUUGCAAACCUUUUGAGCCGGUUACUCUUCUUUGAUUACCCUCUUUGGAACCUGAAAGUGUUAUUGAAAAAAAAAAGAGAAAAUAAAAAAUGAAAAAUGAAAAAAAAAUAAAAAAAAAUAAAAAGAUACAAAAAAGGGGGAGGAAAAGACAAAGAAAAUGAAAGAGAGAGAGAGAGAGAGAGNNNNNNNNNNNNNNNNNNNNNNNNNNNNNNNNNNNNNNNNNNNNNNNNNNNNNNNNNNNNNNNNNNNNNNNNNNNNNNNNNNNNNNNNNNNNNNNNNNNNNNNNNNNNNNNNNNNNNNNNNNNNNNNNNNNNNNNNNNNNNNNNNNNNNNNNNNNNNNNNNNNNNNNNNNNNNNNNNNNNNNNNNNNNNNNNNNNNNNNNNNNNNNNNNNNNNNNNNNNNNNNNNNNNNNNNNNNNNNNNNNNNNNNNNNNNNNNNNNNNNNNNNNNNNNNNNNNNNNNNNNNNNNNNNNNNNNNNNNNNNNNNNNNNNNNNNNNNNNNNNNNNNNNNNNNNNNNNNNNNNNNNNNNNNNNNNNNNNNNNNNNNNNNNNNNNNNNNNNNNNNNNNNNNNNNNNNNNNNNNNNNNNNNNNNNNNNNNNNNNNNNNNNNNNNNNNNNNNNNNNNNNNNNNNNNNCCCUGAACUACGUUUGACUUGAUUCCGAAAGGAUACGUAGGCAGCCUCUCUCUGGGGUUCAGUCACAUCAAAACGAAAAUCCAAAUUCCCCAAAAGUUGAAACUGGGGAUGAAGUUAUAAAGGUUCGGCGAUGGUUUCGCCUGAAAGGUUCCAAAAUUGUAAUUAAAUCCAAAUUCUUUUUACCCCAAAUCAUGUUCAAGUCCUUCCGAUCAAUCGGUAAGAAUGUUCAAGGAAAAAAGAAUACAGUUACUUGGAUCCAAUACAGUCAAAAUGAGAGAAAUGAAAUAAGACAGUUUUAUUGGAGAAAACCCACACGGGCACUGUGAGGUGACAGUAAGCAGAGAAACAAAAUGAGAGAGUCUUAUUGGUGAAAACCCACACGGGCACCACGAGGCGAUGGUAAGCAGAGAAAUGAAAAAUGAGAGAGUCUUGUUAGUAAAAACUCGCAAGAUCACUACAAGGCGAUGGUGAGAAGAGAAAUAAGAAAGGUCAGCUCGUGAAAACCCGCAAAAGGCACCACUAAUCGAAAACGAGGAUCUUCAGUCACUGACAUUGAUGCAGUCCUGGGCAAGGUUUCUCGGUUUUGAGGCAAAAGCUAUGAUGAAUUUCUGAGAUUUGGACGGUUUGCACAGAUCAGGCAUCCAGUCCAAAAGGCAUGUCAUGUUCAUUGAAGUUCGCAUGUAAUCCAGAUAUGUCCUUCUUUUCUUUACCCGAAAGGGAUACCCCUUGUCUAAAUUCAUUUAUCAAUUCCUUUGUUUGUUUUUCUUUUGAAUCCUUUUCGGUCUAACUCUAUUCCGAAACUAAGACAAAGAAGGGAUGACAAGACUAAUUUACAGGGGUCUCAUUUGAUACAAGCCAAUAUGCAAAAAGGCACCCAACCUCGUCAGGGGGAAUCAAGUCGACCUCGACUAGCCAUGGGGGUCGAUGCUUCGAAAUCAGAACUCUCAGAAGGAGAAAAUCAAAUUGAAGUGCCUACAAAGGCAAAAUGAAGUUGAAAAGGUUGAGUCACACGUGGCUAACCGUCUCGGCAAAGAUUUGGAAAAAGCCAAGGUACCUCAAAAGCUCUAAAAUUGAAGUUGGAAGAAUGAAGCCAGAAAUGAAAGGCUUAUAAAGGCAAAAUAAAGUUGGAGAAGGUUAAGUCCCACGUGACUAGCCGUUGCGACUAAGUUUGAGGAGCAAAAAGUUUCCCAAUGCCCCGAAGUUAAAAAUUGAAAAAAAAAGAGUCAGAAGUGAAAGACCUACAAAGGCGAAAUAAAGUCGAAAAGGUUGAGUUCCACGUGACCAAACAUCAUGGCAAAGUCUGGAAAAACUAGAGGUUCUCCAGGGCCUGAAAUGAAAUCAGUCCUCAGGGAACAAGCAGUUGCAAUUGAGAUCUUCAUCAAAGAAGUCGGCUGAGAUCAAGUGAUUGAAAUAAUCAAGGCCACAAAACCAACCACCACUUCAAACUAACAAUUAUUUUUUGUUUGAAAACAUGAAACAUGUGCAAUCCAAAGCAACCUUGCAAGAAGCAGGUGCAACCAAAAAAGAAACUGCCAAGGGCUAGAAGCAACUUUGCAGCAAUAAUCAAUCCAAAAUGGUAGCCUAAGGUCCCCAAUCUCUAGCUACGUUUUUCCAACAUAGGAUCCUAUUCCCUAGUCGUUGCCAGCAUAACCUGGUAAUCUUUUCUAUUAUAGGGUUCCACUCCCUAGUUGAUCCCCGGCAUAACCCAUGGACCUCUCCAGCAUAACCCGAGGACCUUUUUCUUAUCCGGCAUAACCCGAGAACUUUUUUUUCUUUUCUGGCAUAACCCGAGGACUUUUCCGGCAUAACCCGAGGACCUUUUUCUUAUCUGACAUAACUCUAGGACUUUUUUUUUCUUUUCCGGCAUAACCCGAUGACUUUCCCGGCAUAACCCGAGGACCUUUUUCUUUUCCGGCAUAACCCGAUGAUCUUUCCCGGUAUAACACGUGGACAUCCCCGGCAUAACCCGAGGACCUUUUUCUUUUCUGGCAUAACCCGAUGAUCUUUCCUGGCAUAACCCGUGGACCUCCCCGGCAUAACCCGAGGACCUUUUUAUUUUUCGGCAUAACCCGAUGACUUUCCCAACAUAGCCCGUAGACCUCCCCGACAUAACUCGAUGACCUUUUUCUUUUCCGACAUAACCCGAUAACUUUUCCGGCGUAACCCGUGGGCCUCCUCGGCAUAACCCGAGGACCUUUUCUCUUUUCCAGCAUAACCUGAUGACUUUCCCGGCAUAACCCAUGGGCCUCCCCGGCAUAACCCGAGGACCUUUUUUCUUUUCCGGCAUAACCCGAUGACUUUCCCGACAUAACCCGUGGACCUCCCCGGCAUAACCCGAGGACCUUUUUUUGGCAUAACCCGAGGACAUUUUCUCUUUUCCAGCAUAACCCGAUGACCUUUCUCUGCAUAACCCGAGGACCUUUUUACCUUUUCCGGCAUAACCCGAUCAUCUUUCCAGCAUAACCUGACAAUCUUUCCAAUUUAGGGCUCCGAUCCCUAGUUGAUUUCAUUAUGGAUACAGGGUCUCCACUCCUUAAUCUCUUUUUCUCAGGGAUACACAAUCUCGAUUUUUUAUUGCUUUCAUUAAAGAAAUAGUUUAGAUUUUAUUACAAUAACUCACAAAAUUUUCCUAGUGAAAACUGGGGUAGAAAAAUUUCGUUCAUUUGUCUCCUUUGGUGCCUAAAUAGGUUUUCACCAAAAGAAGAAGUCUUAACCCAAAUAAAAGAAAAGAAGAAACAAGAAAAAGAAGUGAACUCAAAGUGCAGAAGCGGAGAAAGAUGCGGACUGCUCAAGAUGUGAUUGAAGUCGCAAGCUUCACAUGUCCCGCCUUGAUCCGAAAAGCUGAAGAAGAAGGAACCAGCACCUGCAGCUAACAAGCAUCAAGAUUCAUAUCAGAGUAUGCAUGAAGAACCAACCAAGACUCAAGGUCAAGCUUCAAAAGACUCAUAGAUAGGAAUAUUGUAACUCGUAGCUGAUAGGCUUAGUUAGUCUUUUUAAUUUUGAUUUUUAUGUAAUAACGGGACCACGGACCGGAAACUCGACGGCACCUCGCUCGGCUCUCAACCUUGGUACUCCAUCACCUCAUUCACUUCUGAACUACACGCGACCUGAUUCCCUUAUGACCCAGGAUAUGUAAGUUGUCCAAAAUCAGGACUCGGUUGCACCCUUUGCUUUGUUUAUUUUCUCUUUUGAAAUAAAAAGGAUUUGUUCAAAAAUUAGUCACAUGGCUCACCUUAUCUUUGCUUGUAAACUCCUCAUGUUUCCAAGCAAAGAGGGGCAGCUGUGAGCAGCUAAUUUUUUACCAUGUUUGAAUUUAUUCCCACUUUCUCCACUCACUUCCCACUUCCCCCACUUUAUCCACUCACUACCCACUUUCCCCACUCAUGUUCUCCACUCUACCCACUUUCCCAAAAAUAUUACCUACACUCUAAGACUAAAACAGCCUCAAUUCACCUUUUAAAAGUAGCUGAAACACGCAGCAAGAACCAGCUGGGAAGAGCGGCAAAAAUCAGCUGCAAGGCAGCCAAAAAAUGCUACUAAAACAGCACGAAAAACAUUCAAAACAGCAGCUCAAAUUGCUGCCAUUUUCGCUAAAAAAUAGACCUGGAAAUCCCAGUUCCAAAACACCUAAAACCGGCACCAAAAACCCGAUGAAAUACCGUAAAAAUCAGCUUAUAAACCCCUCCAUAAACCAGCCUUUAAAACCAUCUUCAAGCAGUCUCAAAGCAUCCCCAAAACCAGUAAAAAAUGCACCAAACUCCAGCUCAAAACCAUCAACUUCUCUAAAUGUUUCGGUCAAGCAUAGAGGUGUAUCGAGGUUCGAGGUUCGAGGUUCGAAGGCUUCGUCCGUGGUUCGCGGGCUCCAAAUAAUUUAUUGUUGUACAUUUGAGAUUCAUCUUCCUUUCCAGAUUCUUUUAAUAAUGCUUUAGCUUGGGUUAUAAAAUUGUUGAAUGAAUAGUUUGUUGCUAUGUUUUUGAAAUAAGCAGUGCACUUAUUUAGAUUAUAUUUGUAUUUUUGAUUCAUGUUUAAUCCUUGUUAAUUCUAAGGCUCAAUUAGUUUUGUGAUGGUUGAAUUAUAACCCAAAUAAUAAUAUCUUUGUUAAUUGAUCUUGUUUCUAGUUGAAGGUUAAGAAUAUAAUUGGUAGUAUUGUUGGAUAAGAACUUCAGAUUGGAUAAGGAAAUUUGGACUUAAACAUUGGGCCAAGGUCAAUGGAAUUAAAUGGGCACAAAUGAAUAAUGUGUGCGUGUGUGUGAAUUUUGAGUAUCUCAAGGUAUGGUUUACAACUUAAUAAGAACAUGUGCAAUUAGCUCUUGAUACUGAUUUUUCUCCAAAUGUAUUAUGCUGUUUGAUUGGUUUAGUAUUUACAUACCUGAUAGAGUUUGAAUUGUCUAUGAUAAUUUGUCAAUUUUUCUAUUUAUCUUUGAAGCAAAUAAAUCAAUACGGUGGGAUACAUGUUAAUUUGUGCUUAUCGUAUUUGAGAUUUAGUUGUACAUGAAGGUAGCGAGAACUCUUUUUUUUAAGAAUAUGCAUGUUUUUUUUUACUCUCUUAAAUUUCAAAUACACUUUGCCCCCAAUGAGAUUUCAUAACUCCUGUCCUUUGGCAGGCAUCUCGAUAUAGUUUAGGAAGUAAAUCAAAUAUCGUAGCUCACUUUAGGUUAAUGAAUAAAUUAUUACAACUACGGGUACGGCUCCCGUGACGUGGUUGUGAUAAUUAAUUUUAAAUUAGAUUAAAAAUAGGAGCAUCUUUAAUUUUCCUUUAAAAUAUAUAAAUCUUUCUUUCUUAAAAUAAUUUGAGGUGUGCCACGCUUAAAACCUAUAAUACAUGGCCCUCACAAAAUUAGAUCAAGAGCUAAUCCUUUUAGAAAGUAACUUGGGGUGUGCCAUAUACAAAUAAAAUCUUUUAUUUUAUGUCCCUCAUAUAAAUACAAGAUUAGUUUAGAAAUGCCUUGACCUUUCGUAGUUUCCUUUAGGCACGUUAAUUAAAUAAUUGUCAUAGCUACGGGUACGGUUCCCGUGACGUAGUCGUGACGCUUAAUUACUAAAAUCCGGGGGUACAUUUAUGUGACCCAGCCACAAUUUAAUCUCUAAUAAAUUAAAUAUGUUACAGAUCGUGGGUACAAUUCCUGUGACACGAUUCACAAUGUGCAUCAAACAAACAAGUGUACGACAAUCGUAACUUGUUCCAGAUUAAUUCCAUAAAAAAUAAUUAAAAGCGGUUUAAAAGGUUAAAAUGUACAAUAGGUUUUAAACAUGUAAUAAAUCGGAUAAUAGGUCAAUUUUAAUAGUUUAAGCGACCGUGCUAGAACCACGGAGCCCCGAAAUGUCUAACACCUUCUCCCGGGUUAACAUAAUUCCUUAUCUAGAAUUUCUGGUUCGCAGACUUAAAAAAUAAAAGUCGAAUUUCCUCGAUUUGGGAUUUUUAAAUAAAUCGGUGACUUGGGACACCAAUUAAACUAUCCCAAGUGGCGACUCUGAUAAUUUAAAUAAUCUCAUUUCAAAUAAUGCCACUUUAAUUGAAAAAACUCCCAUAUACUCUCGGGGGUAAAAAGGAGGUGUGACAACUUGCCAUGAUAACUUUGAUUUCAACUCGAAAAACCUUGUUUGUUUAUUGACUAACCACUUUCUCUGUCACUCUUUUCACAGAAAAUACCUCUGAUCCGUUCAAACCCAACAUCCUCUAUCUGUUGCAUUUUGCUCAUUCAUUGACAUGUACUGAACCUUUAUGUGUCACAUGAAUUCCAAAGCACAUCAAUUGCCACCCACUCAGUGCGCAUGUUGUUCUUUUCUGACUUAAACCACUGGCCUUGGCCUUGAGGUCUAUUGCUCCUUCACUUGCCAUGAUAACUUUGAUUUCCGCUUGGAAGACCUUGCUUGUCAUUGGUUAACCACUUUUUCUGUCAACCUUAUCACAAAAAAUACCUUUGAUCUGUUCACCCAACAUCCUCUAUCUGUUGCAUUGUUCAUGAAUUGACAUAUACCAAACCUUUAUAUUUCACAUGAACCCCAAAGCACGUUGAUUGUUACCAACUCAGUGCGCAUACUGCUCUUUCUUGACUUAUACCACUUUGAUGCACUAGCCAGAUCCCUUUUUCUGUAAUUGGAAAGCUGGUAGCAAAUUUUGAAGUCAUUUCUCACUUAUUCUGACCAAACAGACUCAUGAAGAGGAAGUAAACAAGACAAAAGGGUUCAUAGUAAAGGACAAUGGAAAAAGAUGGUUCCUAACAAGAAAACUACAAAGUAGAAACUUAUCAGAUGUGGAUACCGACUCUAAUGACCAUGGCAUGCACCUUUGGAUUAAGUGGCCUAAUAUGUCAAGCAAGUCUGAUGUUCAACUCUUGUUAUACCCCUUAACCGUGAAACUGGGCUUCAAUGCUCCGAUUAUCCAAUCUAAUUCACGAUCCUUAUUUGGCUUGUAGUGCCCGAAGGGUUUUCACCAUCAAACCUCUCUCAUUUUGUUCUUUUCCUCAACUCAUAAUUGCCUUACGGUGCCCAUGAAGGUUUUCACUAAUAAAACUCUCUCAUUUUAUUCUUUUCUUCUUAUUUCCUCUGAUUUUGCAGAUGACAAGGCAUUAACCAUGGUAAAAAUAUCAUAUGCUCCUGGCAUGUCUAGAUCAACACUCUCA
rnacentral:lncRNA from 1 species